rnacentral:rRNA from 1 species
GAGUUUGAUCUUGGCUCAGAGCGAACGCUGGCGGCAGGCCUAACACAUGCAAGUCGAGCGCCCAGCAAUGGGAGCGGCAGACGGGAGAGUAACACGUGGGAACGUACCCUUCAGUUCGGAACAACCCAGGGAAACUUGGGCUAAUACCGAAUACGUCCGUAAGGAGAAAGAUUUAUCGCUGAAGGAUCGGCCCGCGUCUGAUUAGCUAGUUGGUGGGGUAAUGGCCCACCAAGGCGACGAUCAGUAGCUGGUCUGAGAGGAUGGCCAGCCACAUUGGGACUGAGACACGGCCCAGACUCCUACGGGAGGCAGCAGUGGGGAAUCUUGCGCAAUGGGCGAAAGCCUGACGCAGCGACGCCGCGUGUGGGAUGACGGCC